rnacentral:lncRNA from 1 species
AUCUUAAGUUCAUUUUCAGGUAGAGUGGAGUGUGAGUAAAUGAAUGAGUAAAUAGGAAAUUAUAAGCAUUUGAGUAGUAGUGGAAAUUGAGGCAGUGAAUGAGAUCACCCAGGGAGAGUCAGCAAAACAGGAAGAGACAAGGGCCAAGGACAGAACCACUGGAAUAGCAAAUGUAUGUGAUUGGCUAAGGAAGGAUACACCGGAGAACGAGAACUAGCAAAAGAGAUCACUUGAAGAAAGAGGAGGUGGUCAGUGGUGUCUAAGAGUAGAAAGGGGUCCCAUAAGAUAAAAACUGAAAAAUGGUCAUUGGAUUUAGCAACAAGGCAGUCAGUGGGGACCUUUGCAAGAGUUUCAGCACAGGUGUGUAGAGAGGGGCUACAUGGCAUGGGUUGAGGGGGAAUGGGAAAUGAAGUAAUACAGAUAGCCCUCACAAAAGGUUGGCUAAGAAAAGAAUUAAGAAGGUGGCUAAACGGGGUAUAAGAUGGGAAGUUUAUCGUAGUUUUGAAAGAUAGGUAGAUACAGGGGCACCCCCACCCCCACUUGUGCACUCUCUUGCUCUCUCUCUCACAUAAAUAAAUAAAUCUUAAAAAAAAUAAAGAAUUUGCUUACGAUUCAUCUAGGUUUGGGCGCACCUGGGUGGCUCAGUCCAUUGAGUGUUUAUCUUCAGCUCGGGUCAUGAUCUCAGGGUCCUGGGAUGGAGCCCCACUUUGGGCUCCCUGUUCAGCGGGGAGUCUGCUUCUCCCUCUCCCUCUCCCUCUGCCUCUUGCUCCUGCUCAUGCUCUCUCUCUCUUUUUCUCUCUCUCUCAAAUACAUAUUUUUUUUAAAUCCAUCUAGUUUUUAAAGCUAUAAGCCUUUCAUCUGUGAUAGCAUUUAUCCCUCUCUUCUUUAGGUGAUCCUUGAUAUCUCCUAUGGCAUCUGUUGGCAGAAAUACACUUGCCGUGGGAAUGAUAUGGAGCCAGGAAGUAGCAGCAGUUUGUCCCUCAGCGGAGUUGGGAGCUUCACGGAUCCAUUUCCACCCCCCCUGCUCUUAUGGGAUCAGUAGUCAUCAGAGACCUCCGCCUCACAGGUGUCAUAGGUUGGGGCCACCAGGAAGCAGAUUCCAAGAUGGAGCAGUGGUUUGUGCAGUGGGACUCACUCACUUAACUGAAGAUCCCCCAGUAGAGAAAAAGGACUAGGAGAAAAAGGCCACGUCACCAAAAGACCACCUUGUUGGCGGACGGUGAACUUUUCCUUCAUGCCAGGCCUGCUGCACUGUCUAAUGUCACAAGUGUCUGCUCACAUUAGCUCCCGGAGACUGGAGAAGAUUCCGCAUGGGGCCUUUCCAGCAAGUUGAUUUGACAGAAUGAGUCCCCAUGCUAGCUCAUGGCACUUAUCAGUUAGUUGGCCUUCCUUGGGGAGGAGAAUUUAGAGUGCACCAUAUUCAGUUUCCAAAUCAACGGCUGUCCCCUCAGGAAGCUGUGUGUUGCAUUAUUAAAAGAGACGCCUUUGACCACAGCACCAUACUUAAACAUUCAUCCACAUUAAAAAAAACAAGGUAGAGUGGGGGGACAGCAAAACGAUGCCCCACCCCCUUCCCUGUGUUAACUCUUUCUCCCCAGUUUCCGGUCUCCCUCACUGAACAGUCCUGUAACCUUUAUUAGUGGACAUGAACGCUUAUUAUUUUUUUGUGAGCCUCGCCUUUAUUUUAAAAGGGGUGUUUUGACAUUUCUUGGAAUGGCUGUGGAACCUUCCCCUAAACUGUAAGACCUUGGGGCUGAGAUACCUCUAUUCCCAAUCUCUGCUCUUCACUGAGCUCCCAUGGCAAAGUCAAAAUCUAGCCACCGGAAACAGCAAUGACUUUGGUUUAUCUGUUACCUACCUCUCCCAGGAGUUCAAAUGAAAUGCAAGAAUUAGUUCUGAGUUGAAAAUGAACAGAUCUGAAGCUCACACUUUAAUUAUUGUAACUUCACAUAUUUCUAAUUUAAAAAAUAAAAAAUAAAGUUUAUAUCCA